rnacentral:rRNA from 1 species
GCAUCUUGAUUUAAUUUUGAACGAGUGGCGGACGGGUGAGUAACACGUGGGUAACCUGCCCUUAAGUGGGGGAUAACAUUUGGAAACAGAUGCUAAUACCGCAUAAAUCCAAGAACCGCAUGGUUCUUGGCUGAAAGAUGGCGUAAGCUAUCGCUUUUGGAUGGACCCGCGGCGUAUUAGCUAGUUGGUGAGGUAACGGCUCACCAAGGCAAUGAUACGUAGCCGAACUGAGAGGUUGAUCGGCCACAUUGGGACUGAGACACGGCCCAAACUCCUACGGGAGGCAGCAGUAGGGAAUCUUCCACAAUGGACGCAAGUCUGAUGGAGCAACGCCGCGUGAGUGAAGAAGGCUUUCGGGUCGUAAAACUCUGUUGUUGGAGAAGAAUGGUCGGCAGAGCAACUGUUGUCGGCGUGACGGUAUCCAACCAGAAAGCCACGGCUAACUACGUGCCAGCAGCCGCGGUAAUACGUACGUGGCACGCGUUAUCCGGAUUUAUUGCGCGUAAAGCGAGCGCAGGCGGUCUUUUAAGUCUGAUGUGAAAGCCCUCGGCUUAACCGAGGAAGUGCAUCGGAAACUGGGAAACUUGAGUGCACAAGAGGACAGCGCAACUCCAUGUGUACCGGCGAAAUGCGUACAUAUAUGGAACAACACCACCGGCGAAGGCGGCUGUCUGGUCUGCAACUGACCCUCAGGCUCGAAAGCAUGGGUAGCGAACCGCAUCACAUCCCCCGGCCCUCCCUGCCGCACCGAUGAAUG